rnacentral:lncRNA from 1 species
CCAGACGUGCUAAAAAGGAUCCCUGAUUUACGGCUGAGUGUAUGGGACAAAAUGGUGGUGGUUUGGGGGUUAUCUUAAUCAUCAGAUGGGAUGGAAUUCAUUGAUAGUUUUUCAGACUUUAAUUCCUGCUAGCAAUUUUCUUGAUUAAGCAAAAAAUAAAAUAACAGUGAAAAAACUUGUAGCAGGGGUGAAAACACAAAAUGCACACAUGAGGUUCUCCGCCAACAAGGGUCCUGAGAAGAUUCGCCCCUCUCCAGCACGACCAUCCCCUGGACAGCAUGAGAGUCACAGACACAGCCCGCAGGCAGGCAGGACACAGACACGGCACCACGUGAUGUGCCGUGCUUGAAAUUCUGAACACAGCCCUGGGCCUCUCUUUCUAGUGUACUCAAAAUCCAUUUAAUUUUAAGUUACAUAAUAAUCAUCAAUUUCGCAUGUGUUGAAGAAAAUCAAAACGACUCUUUAAGAAGCAUUUGCAAAUCCCAGUAACUGUAUAUAAGCACCACGGUUUCCAUCUUCGAAAUAAACCUUAUGUUUUCAUGUUGAUGGGGCAGGCUGUUGAACUUUGGCAAAGGACACUUAACCCUCUACAAAAACAGCAUAAAACACAGGCUUGGAGAAUGAGCCGGUCUGCUCGUGACCGGUCCUGACGCGGACGUCUGAGAGAGCUUAAUCACUGCAAUCGCGGAUGUUAUUAGCUUGCCAAGUGCUUUUCAUCUCU